CCUUAAUCUGUGGUGACCUCAGGGAGGUGACACUCCUAGCCAGAACAUUUCACUGAGUGAUAUAAAAUGACUCAGAAAGGCAGUGGCUGAACUUCAGUUGGACCUUAGUGGCAGGAAGUGCGGCUCGGUGGUGGCUCAAGGGAGAUGCAAAGUGACCCUCACGCUCCCAGUACCUUCCAUGUCCUGAUGACAUUCCUUCAGAGCAUGAGCCAAAGUGAACCCUUACUUCCUUGAGCUGCUAAGUAUUACAUCACGGCAAAGAGAAAUAUAACUCACAGAACUCCAUGCUCGCUAGACACGGUGGUGGGAAGAUACUUGUCAUUGGACUUAAUGCCACCUAGCAAACCAAGAUGAUUUUGACCGGGAAGACUUAAUUGCAUCUCUGAAGACCACUUCCACUCCUACUAAGGUUACUUAAUAAGUGCUGAGUCUCGCACAGAAAUUCAACCUGCAUUCAACCCACCAUAGGGGACGCAAGACAGGAUUUCUCCAUAUAGCUCUGGAUGUCCUGGAACUCACUCUGUAAACUAAGCUGGCCUCAAACUCACAGUGUCUAUGAGUGCUGAGAUUCAAGGCAUGCACCACCACUGCCUGGACCAGGAAGUUUAUAUGUAAACACAAGGGGUAAUGGACCCCUGACCUGCUCAGGGCUUUCAACCCAGUCAAUCCACAGAGGGAUUAACCCCAAAUACCGACUGGAUCUCGGAGGGUUCCAGACCUGCAUGUCCUCAUACUGCACAGACAGACUUUUUCCAAGUCAAGGAACCUGCGAACCAGAUUUUCUUCAGUAGAACGUCUUGCAGCUGGGAGGCAACAAUCGCUCACAAGAGACAAUGUAUCUGUAUUUUAGAGUCUCUGUUGCAAAAGGGUCCAGAAGUUUCCCAUGUUGUUAAGAAGGGGG
ensembl:lncRNA LOC102547530 uncharacterized LOC102547530